AACGAACGCUGGCGGCGUGCCUAACACAUGCAAGUCGAACGAGAAAGGGGCUUCGGCUCCGAGUAAAGUGGCGCACGGGUGAGUAACACGUAGGUAACCUGCCUCUAAGAUUGGGAUAACUUGUCGAAAGAUGAGCUAAUACCAAAUAAGACCACGGUUCCCUCGGGGACAGAGGUCAAAGGUAGCCUCUAUUUAUAAGCUAUCGCUGAGAGAUGGGCCUGCGUACCAUUAGCUAGNGGUGAGGUAACGGCUCACCAAGGCAAAGAUGGUUAGCUGGUCUGAGAGGAUGAUCAGCCACACUGGAACUGAGACACGGUCCA
rnacentral:rRNA from 1 species